GGAGUCUGGACCGUAUCUCAGUUCCAAUGUGGCCGAUCACCCUCUCAGGUCGGCUACCCAUCGUCGACUUGGUGGGCCGUUACCUCACCAACUAUCUAAUGGGACGCGAGUCCACCUUCUACCGGAUUUCUCCUUUGACCUCAUGACCAUGCGGCCUCGUGGUCUUAUGCGGUAUUAGCAAUCCUUUCGGACCGUUAUCCCCCUGUAGAAGACAGGUUCCUCACGCGUUACUCACCCGUCCGCCACUCGGUUAAGCAAAUUCCAUCCGAAGACUUCCUUCACAUAACCUCGUUCGACUUGCAUGUGUUAAGCACGCCGCCAGCGUCGUCCUGAGCCACGGAGUCAAACUACU
rnacentral:rRNA from 1 species